UACGUAGGAGGCGAGCGUUGUCCGGAUUUACUGGGCGUAAAGCGCGCGCAGGCGGCACUUCAAGUAAGGUGUGAAAUCUCCCUGCUCAACGGGGAGGGUGCACUUUAGACUGAGGAGCUAGAGGACGGUAGAGGGGGGUGGAAUUGCUGGUGUAGCGGUGAAAUGCGUAGAGAUCAGCAGGAACACCCGUGGCGAAGGCGGCCCCUGGGCCGUACCUGACGCUGAGGCGCGAAGGCUAGGGGAGCGAACGGG
rnacentral:rRNA from 1 species